UGCAUGGCCCGUCCGGGGAGAGCCCCAGCUGUGCCCCGAGAUGAGCCGCGGGGGCGAGGGGCCGCGCUGGGUGCUGCCCAGCCUGUGCGCCUCCUUCCACGUCAGCUCCCUCGUGUGUCUCAGCGCCCUCUUCUUCUCCUUCCCGUGAGUGGUGGACCCUCCCUCGCUGGGGGUCCUUGCCUUGGGCAUCACGCAGCAGCAAGCACCCAAUUAACCCCGGGGGAGAUGGGCCCUGGAGCACUUUUGCCCCCACACAGCUUCCCUCUGCCCCAAGCUGCCCAGGUACGGCUGCCCAUGGGCACCCACAGGGCUAAUGAACCCCUGCCAGGUGGGGUGUUCCCAUUACACAGAUACGGCAACUGAGGCAAGGGACCAGCAGGAGGGUCAUGGCAGGGGCAGAGCCAAUCAAAGCUGUUCUCAGGAGUUUGGGCAGUUGUUCCCCUUCCUCCUAUUGCCACUGCGGCCACUUAGGACCAGCCAAAUUUGGUGCCACUGGCCGGUGGAAGCAGGGUCUGGGAUGGGGCUGAGCCCGGGGCCCUCCUUUCCCCUCCUCAAGACCCUGAGACGUCCAGCCAGGCUGUGACCCCGCUGCCCGCCUCGCAGGUGCGGCUGGCUGGCUGUCCACGUCUCCUUGGCCUUCCCCGUCGUGGCUGGCAUCCUCUUCCUCCCUGCCCUGGCCAACCUGUUGCUGGCCAGCUUCAUGGACCCCGGGAUCCUGCCCCGAGGUAGCGAGGGGGCUGUGACGCUGCUGGGGUCAACGGGGAGCCCAAAAGGGGAGGUCUGGAGGGCACACGACGGGCUCAAAAGGGAUGAGGGUCCUCCUGCCUGAGCUCUCUGGAGCCCUCCUCAUCUCCCCAAUUGCCGGGCCAAGGGGUCACCACCUUGCUGCCUGGACUGGGGCAGGUCUAGAGGGACCCCCACCACGGCCUCUCAGGUGGGGAGGGGUGGGGCAGGUUCACCCUGUGUUGCGUCUCCCUGAGCCAGGGGCCAAGGGCCGGGCCAGGCUGGUCAUCCAGGUGCUCCGUGACGAGGACAGACGCUUCGGUCCGCGCUGGUGCCACAAGUGCCACUGCUACUGCCCGCCGCGGAGCUUCCACUGCCCCUCCUGCAACGUCUGCGUGGAGGGCUUCGACCACCACUGCUACUGGCUGAACAACUGCGUGGGCCGCGGCAACACCCGCUGCUUCUCCCUCUUCGUGGCCUUUCUGUGCGGCUACAAUGCACUGGCGCUGGCCUCCUGCAUCGCCUACCUGGUGCUCAGCUCUGGACAGGUCCUCAGCACCGAGAAAGCCUGCGCCAUCGUGGUGACCGUCCCCGCCGCCUUCUACCUGCUGCCCCUCCUAGCCCUGAUGAGCUCCCGCGCCAAGCUGCACGCGUGGGCCAAGCGCACCCACAGGCUCAAGGUACUGGGACGGUGGCUCUGCCUGGGGCUCAGAUCACUGUGGUUCAGACCCAGAGGCGCGGGACCAGCACAUCCGGAGACUGUCCCACCCAAGCCUGCAGCACACGGCACCGGACAGGGGCUCCCUGCCUCCCCUCAUCAAGCCCAGGCAUCCCCCCAAGGCCAGGGGGGCAAGUGGGGAAGUAGCCCCAGCUGCAGUCAGACCUGGCUGGACCCAGCCAGCACCCAGGCUCAAGGUGGACCUGGGAGACGUGGGUGCUUGCUCCACUGCCUCUCAGCCCCCACCAAUGGGCAAGGGCACAGCCCAGCACGCCCUGCCACCCUCGAGCACCCAUGCCUCUGCCCCCACCGCUCUUCUGUUUGCAGGUCUACAGCCGAGGCAAGAAGACCCUGUUGGGCAGGGCUUGGGCCAGGAGCUGGGCACCCGCGCACACGGCCGGAGCUGCCCAGCCCUGGGCUUCGGUGACACAGCUCCUCCACCUGCAUGCGGCAGCCUCCUGUCCCCACCGUCCCGGACUCGUGCCAGGCCCGGAGAAGACGGGCAGAGCCCAGCUGGCCCAGGGAGGGUCCCGGCAGGGCCCUGGGUCUGGGGAGCCAGCCACCAAAGAGGUGAGGGCUGCAGCUGCUCCUGGCCUGAGCUCUGGUGCAGCCCCAUGUCUCUGCCCCCAAAUCUGGGGUGCCUGCUUCUGCUGCUGCCCGGCCUGUCUGCGCCCUGUGCUUGAUGCCUCGGUCAUCUCCCCUGCAGGCUGGCGCGGAGGUACCCAGCUGGAGGCCGUGGCAAGAGGCUAGGGCAAAGGUGGCCGUCACAGGCCUGGACGUGUUUGCACCUCUGAUGACAGCGGAUGGAGAUGGACGUGGUCACUGGAAAUCCCAGAUAACCUUCAACAGCCGAGAGGGCUCCCCCACCGCCUCCCUCCUGUCCCGGUCUGAUAUCUAGAGGGAGCUCCCAAGGUGGCUUCUGCUCGUUCUGGAUGCAGGGCUUGCCCGAAUCCAAGCGCUGGGGGCACCAGUCCAGCCACUAAAUAAAAAUCCUUCUAGUUUUGGUCUCCGAUGUCUCUGGCAGAGUCCUCAGCAAUAAUCCUGACAGCGGUGGCCCGUAGGCGGCAGCAUCUUGCAGGCUCCUGGGAAAAUGAGC